rnacentral:rRNA from 1 species
AUGGGGGAACCUGCUCCAGCUCCGCCGCCGGAAUCCGCGCCUCCGGAGGCCUUGCUCGUCAGGUUCACGCGGGAGCCCGGCAGGCCCGACGAGGCCACGUUCUUUAGGGUCUCCUCCCCGUCCAAGCCCGCGGCCAUGCCGCACCGCGUCACUAUCCCCAGCGGCUACAGCCUAUCCAACGUCUGCAAUGGCCUUCUCUGCUUCGCGCGUGACAGUGCCGAGGCGCCGGCGUUCAUCUGCAACCCCAUUACCGGCGAGACAGCGAGGGUCCCCAAGGCGCCUCCACCCAUGGGGUUCACGGGCGGCACCAUCUACCACAUCUUCGCCCUGGGGUUCAGCCCCUCCACUACAGAGCACAAGCUGUUCCGGUUCACGUGCUCGCCCUUCAGUUCCAUCCAUGGGAAAGACAUCGACCUGUGCGUGUGCACCUUAGACGGCGCUGCAGGCGGCGGCCGAUGGCGCCAGAGCUCGUUCCGCUCCCAGUGCCCCCUGCUGUCCACUUUGCUCCCGGUGCUCGUCCAAGGCAAGCUCUACUUGGUGACCACCGGCAAGACAGGCCCAGGGGAGCGCCGGAACCCCGACGGGUUGCUGGAGGUCGACGUCGCGACCGAGGCACGCCGAACGCACCGCCUCCCGUUCGAGGCCGACCAGUACCACUCGGCCUGGGACCCGCUGGUGAAUUCCUGCGAGAUGGGAGGGAGGCUGUGCCUCGCCGUGGACAUCCUCAGCGGCACGGAGACCACUGCCCGGAAGAUCCAGUUCUGGGUACUCAUGUCUUCGUCACCGCCUGCUCACCACGACCAGCAGCUCGAGAGCGACAACCUUCGUUGGGACCUACGCUACAGCUUCCGCGUUGAUGGCAACUACUAUUUCUUCCAACCGAGGAGUGUCUGGUUCGAUGACGGUGAGAUGACACUGUGCUACAGGGAUUACAAUGUCUUGUUCAAGCAUGGCACAAGAGGACGCUCACCGGAGCCGUCUCCGGACGCUGAUUGUCCGCAAUGUGACCGACAAAUCAAGCUGCCGCAAAUGCCGUCCAACUGCCAAUGGAACAUCUUCGCGGGCUAUCGCCCCAGCCUGCUCUCGCCUCUCACCUUGGCACCGCCGGCAUCCUGUUGGGACGGCGACGAGGAAAGACAAAAAUUCGAGCACGCCUUGUUGCUUGCACUAGAAUGA